GAUGAACGCUGGCGGCGUGCCUAAUACAUGCAAGUCGAGCGAACGGACGAGAAGCUUGCUUCUCUGAUGUUAGCGGCGGACGGGUGAGUAACACGUGGAUAACCUACCUAUAAGACUGGGAUAACUUCGGGACACCGUAGCUAAUACCGGAUAAUAUUUUGAACCGCAUGGUUCAAUAGUGAAAGACGGUCUUGCUGUCACUUAUAGAUGGAUCCGCGCUGCAUUAGCUAGUUGGUAAGGUAACGGCUUACCAAGGCAACGAUGCAUAGCCGACCUGAGAGGGUGAUCGGCCACACUGGAGCUGAGACACGGUCCAGACUCCUACGGGAGGCAGCAGUAGGGAAUCUUCCGCAAUGGGCGAAAGCCUGACGGAGCAACGCCGCGUGAGUGAUGAAGGUCUUCGGAUCGUAAAACUCUGUUAUUAGGGAAGAACAUAUGUGUAAGUAACUGUGCACAUCUUGACGGUACCUAAUCAGAAAGCCACGGCUAACUACGUG
rnacentral:rRNA from 1 species